UACGUAGGGUGCAGGCGUUAAUCGGAAUUACUGGGCGUAAAGCGUGCGCAGGCGGUCUCUUAAGACAGGUGUGAAAUCCCCGGGCUUAACCUGGGAACUGCGCUUGUAACUGAGAGGCUAGAGUGUGGCGGAGGGGGGUGGAAUUCCACGUGUAGCAGUGAAAUGCGUAGAUAUGUGGAGGAACACCGAUGGCGAAGGCAGCCCCCUGGGCUAACACUGACGCUCAUGCACGAAAGCGUGGGGAGCAAACAGG
rnacentral:rRNA from 1 species